UAGAAUCUCAAACCUCAAACCUCCUCCUCUCUGUCCAUCGAUCGAAAACCUCUGCAACUUCUCAUCUCUCUUGAUCAGAACCUAUAAAACCUCUCAUCUCUCUCGAUCGAAACCUCUGAAAACCUCUCACCUCUACAGUUGCUGUCUCCUCUUUUCUGUCGCUGGAAGCAAGUUGAGGUAGGGUUUUGCUGUGCUGGAACUGUUGGUGCUGCUUUUGAGAUAUGGAAGCUCUGGCUCUAGCUCCGGCCCCGGCUCCGGCCCCUCAUACUCCACAUGAACCGUUGAACAAUUUGGUGCGUUGGCCAAUAACUGAGGACCUUAGGGAGGCAUUAACUAGGAUAGGUUUAGGAUUCUUUGAACGUUUUAAGUUCCAAAUGAGGUUGGAUUGUACCAUGGUAAACGCUUUGCUACGACACUAUGAUCGUAAUUUAAAGUGUUUUACCUUUAAUGGUUAUUCACUCUAUUUUAGUUUAGUAGAUGUCCUUCUCAUCACCGGUAUGCCGAUUGACGGUAGACCGGUUAUUGGCAGGAUAGGGAAAACAGAAACUUUAUUUUUGAAUGCUUUUGGUAUCGAUCCUCCUCCAGCAUCUUUGGAUGGAGGGAGGAUUAGGCUUAGUUGGUUAAGAGAACAUUAUAGUAAUAACCCAGUACGUCCAGAUGAGGAUGGGUGGGCACACUAUCUUAGAGCCUAUCUCAUGUAUGUCAUUGGGUCAUAUAUAAUACCCGAUGACUGCACUGGGUUAGUUUCUGCCCAGUAUUUGGGGCUCUUGGACAAUCUUCAGGAGGUUGGCAGCUAUGCGUGGGGCGCAGCUGCAUGGGCGAGCUUGUACAAUUCUUUGGAUCGAGGAAUCGUAAACGGCUUGGCAUACGCUCUCAUGGUUUUUGCUCUGGAGCAUAUAAAGCCACUACGCAUAAAGCUGAUAGGAGAGACAGUGGAUCUCCCGAUGGAGUGUCCAUUAAUGGUGCCGUGGUCCCACCUUCUCCAUAAACGCUUGAAUGGGAACACAGUUCCCAAUUUUGGAUCCUAUAUGGAAAUUCUGGGGAACGCAACUGAUGAAAAUUUCAUACAGCAGCCUUAUCAGAGGCUUAGCCAUACUCUUCUAGGGGAGGGUUAUGAGCGUUAUGCCCUUCAGCUGGCUAAGGCAUGUUCAGUCACUCUCUGCAUCAAUUAUCACAUAAUCGUCCCUCACAAACCAAACAACUAUGCUAGGCAAUUAGGUUUUGAGAAUAUAGACCUAGAUUCAAUAGCAGAGCUUCCUGAUGUGGUGGUUGAAGUAAGAAAGAAGGGGCCAAAGAAAGAUUUAAAUCUUGCUGACCACGGGCACUUUCCCCUGUACAUUAACAGCUGGGUUGGCAGGUUUCCUUUGAGAGGGCCGCGGAUAGCUGGUUUAGUAGGUCCUCCAUAUGCUGUGGAAUUGCCAGCGCAUGACGUGCCUGUGCAUGCCCUUCAUGACGACCCACAACUGCCCCCGCAUGAUGAGCAACCAAAGUCCCUAAAACCUAAACCCAGGAAGAGAAGAAGGGAAGUUCUGCAACCUAGUUCUACUGCUGUCCCGUCAGCAUCUCAUCAGGCAGAGCCCUCCACCUUGCCUGCACCUGAACAGCUGACUUGUGUUGAGGAACCGGAGGGGUCACAAGUUGUUGACAGAGACACGUUUGAGAAUGCUGACGCUGCAACAUCUCCAUCAUGCAAUCCUCCACUUCCGGCAUCUCAAGAUCAACAAUCUGAUGCAGUACCAGUAGAAGUUGCAGAAGCGGCAACACCACCAGUCUUCAAUUCAUCGCCUUCCAUAGCUACCAACUUAGAAUCUGAAAACAACCCAUCAUCACAGUUGCUUCAAACCCCAAUUGGUUGGCCUCAUGAUGGCGAACUCACCCUCAACUGGGUCCAAAACCUCAUGUCGGUCUUCGACUGGGCUUCUAGAAAUCUUAAGCCGACUCAAUUGCCAGACGUGUUUCCUGUUGAGGUUUUUGAUAGUUUGGUCAUUUGUGCCUCCCAGAUCCUCCAAAAAGAGGCCAAUUGCGUCACCAUUGACAACUUAGCCUCAGAAUCCACAGUCGUCGUCGUCGGAGACCUUCACGGGCAGUUGCACGACCUUCUUUUCCUUCUCCGUGAUGCUGGCCUUCCCUCGGAAAAUCGAUUCUUCGUCUUCAAUGGAAAUUAUGUUGACAAAGGUGCUUGGGGUUUUGAAACUUUCCUAAUUGUGUUAGCUUGGAAAGUGUUCAUGCCAAAAAGGGUGUAUCUUUUGCGUGGAAGUCAUGAAUCAAAGUUUUGCACUUCUAUUUAUGGUUUUGAGAAGGAAGUGUUGACAAAAUAUAGUGAUAGAGGCAAGCAUAUGUAUCGUAGAUGUCUUGGGUGCUUUAAAAGUCUUCCUUUGGCUUCCCUCAUUGGUAAACAUGUGUACACUGCACAUGGAGGUAUAUUUCGCCACAUCCCUGUGAUCCCCAAGAAAUCAAAGGGAAUGAAGAGUCGUAGGAUGGCUUUCAAUCCUGAAUCCAAUUCAUUAUCUUUGGGAUCUUUUGAAGAACUAAAUAAGGCUAGAAGAUUAGUUCUUGAUCCUUCAUGGGAGGGUUCCAACUUAAUUCCGGGCGAUGUGAUGUGGUCGGAUCCUUCAAGGACUCCGGGUCUUUCAUUUAAUAUCGAGAGAGGAAUUGGUUUGAUAUGGGGUCCUGAUUGCACUGAUGAUUUUCUCAAGAAAUUUCAUCUGAAGUUGAUUAUCAGAUCGCAUGAAGGCCCUGAUGCACGAAAAAAGAGACCAAGUCUUGGUGGAAUGGAUGAAGGGUACACCAUCGAUCACAUUGUGGAGUCAGGAAAGCUGAUCACUUUGUUUAGUGCUCCAGACUACCCACAAUUUCAGGGGACAGAGGAGAGGUACAAAAAUAAAGGGGCUUACAUUAUCUUGGAACCCCCUAAUUUUGAUGAUCCUGUAUUUCGUAGUUUUGAAGCAAUUACUCCAAGACCAAAGGCAGAUCCCUUUUACAAUUUUGAAGAUGUGACUGAUGCUGAUGAAGAGUUGGGCUUGGCAUCAAUGGUGACCAGUUCGUGAAGGUUGAACUUGCUCACAAGUUUGAAGGACAGGAGCAUUUUAAGAAUGAUGAACACCCACAGUUUUCGUUGAUCCAGGCCAGGGAAAAAGGAAGAAGAAAGAAUCAUUUAUUUCCUGGAUCUUAUUAUUAGUAUCACAACUUUUAUUUCUUUUAAUACAUGCACAAUUUUAUGAAUUUCAGAGGUAAGUUACAGCAUGACCUUGGAUGCUAAGCCUUGUCUGUUGACGAGAGGAAACAAAUAUUAAAACUGGUUUUAGGAAGUUACAGUAUGACCUUGGAUGCUAAGCCUUAGUCUGUUGACGAGAGGAAACAAAUACUAAAACUGGUUUUGUCGGUGAACGGGUGCCUAUUGCAGCAUAUUCUUCAUCCUUGGGAAAUAUAACUUUCCAGGGUAUCGCUGUUCAUAAACUGACAUAUUACUGCCAUGAAGUGUAUAGCUCCACUUUCAUCCACUUUCAUCUCAACAUCAAGAAGGAGACACAGCUCCACAUGUAAUGCAUAAUUUGUGUUGCCACACAUCCGAUUUUAUAUACCUUUGUAUAUCCAGUGGCAACAGGUGUAUGUACUAUUGAGAAAAGAUCAAUUACACAGGACUAAGUGUCCAGUUAGAUCCA